UUUUUUUUCUUUUUUUGCUUUUUAGGGUCACACCUGUAGCAUAUGGAAGUUCCCAGGCUAGGGGUUGAAUUGGAGCUGCAGCUGCCGGCCUGCACCACAGCCACAGCAAUGUGGGAUCCGAGCUGCAUCUGUGACAGCACAGUUUGGGGCGACAUAGGAUCCUUAACCCAUAUGAGCAAGGCCAGGGAUCAAACCUGCAUCCUCGUGGAUACUAGUUGGGUUCUCAAACUGCUGAGCCACAGUGGGAACUCCGAGGUUGGUUAUCUUAAGAUAAAGUUAUUUAGAAAUCAACACAGCACUUCUGUUCUUUCCCUGAGAUUCUAAGGAUCAGAAAUCUAUACUUUGGAAACCUGGUUUGAGUAUUUUUGUUGUUGAUGGGUUUUUUUGUGUUUUGUUUUGUUUUAAUGAUCUGGAGUCAUUUGUGCUUUUUUUUUUUUUUUUUUUUUUUUUUUUUUUUUUUUAUCAAUCCUUGCUUCCCUGGAGAUCAAUCUUAGAGAUAGUAAAAAGCAUAGGGCAAAAAGUCACAGACUUACCCUACCUACGUUGUCAUCUGGGACUCCAAAUCCAUUUCCAUCAGGUCCAGUCCCAUUUCUGAGGUGGCCUGUAGUCUCUCCUCCAGGCCCUGGAUGGAUCACAGGGAUGGGUCCUUAUCCACGCAUCUGGCCGGGCAUCAUGCAAGGCUAGUCACUGGUCACUGUGACCAAUGAUUCAAUAUUUCUCCCUGACACCGGGAGAUUCUAGGUGUCUGAUUUGCACAUCACCAUGUUGCAUCACACUUGGGUGCUCACACUUGGGUGGCUGCAGGCCUGGACCCGAAGGCUUGGCUCCUCCACUUGUACCAACAUGGCUAUUUUCAGACGCCAAAGGAAAGUGUCCAAUCAGGUAGCAGCCUCCAGCAUCUCCCUAUGGUUCUACAUUUACAAUCUCUGACGUUAUGUGAUUGGUCAACCCCCCCAUGUUUGGCCUGUAAUGUACUACAGUGUGUCCUUGGGCACUGGGCUGCUGUUCUUGUCACACUUAACUUUAUUUCAUUAAUGGAAGUCUAUAAAUCUAUUCCCCUUCACCCUUCGAAGGGAAGAAAUAUUUAUUGUCUACUAUGCAAGUGCCCUCAAUGUAGUUUACCUCAUUUUUCUCAAAGAAGCCUUCUACAGUAGUUUUUAUUGUAGUUUUAUAUAUCAUUUGGUCCUCUCUCUCUUUAACUUGAGCCUUAACACCUGAUCUUGCUUCUGGACCAACCAGAUGCAUAGUCCCUGCUAUAAAGGAAAACCAGCGCUAAUGACAUGGCUUUAUUAACAUCAGCUAGAAAUGGCCAAAUGGGAUAAUUAAUCUUAUUCUCCAUUUAUUGCGAAAAAGAAGUGCUUAGAAUCAACUCACCCAAACCAAAAUCAUUAUCUUUGGCAUAUGUCAUCUAACAUUUAACUGGAUUUUGUCAAACAACUCCAUAUAGUACAACCAUACACCAGUUACCUUGGGUAUAUAUUCUCUUCUCUAAUAAGAUUACAUUGAAGUAUCUACCAGUUAGCUAAACUAUUUAAAUUUAAACAUUUUAGGAAUGCUUUAUUGAGAUUGUUAAAUGCUCACAGAAUGCAAAUACCAGCUUUAAAAAUUUUCCUGGCUAAAAUUAUUAGGGCCAGAGGCUGUCCACUAAACUCUGUAUAGCAAGGUACCAGUAAUUGAAUUCUGAGAAAAAUAUUAGCUCAGCCCACAUCCCUGGGGAGUCUUCUAUAAUUAAGACAUAUCUCCUGACUAGAUUCUUUAACUGGAAAAAAAAAUGUUAACUCUUUCUUCUGAUUAACUGAAUGUCAGGGUGUGGGAAUCUGCCCUAAUUAGACAACAGAGAAGAGCUGCACUCGCAUAUUUACUCAAGAGUGGAUCUUUAAGAAAGACAAAUACCAUAUGGUAUCAUUUAUAUGUGCAAUCCAAAACAUGGCACAAAUGAACCCAUCUACAAAACAGACUCACAGAUAUGGAGAAGAGACGUGUGGUUGCCGAGGGGGAGGGAGAGGCAGUGGGAUGGACUGGGAGUUUGGAGUUAGUAGAUAAAAACUAUUACAUUUAGAAUGGAUAAGCAAUGAGGUCCUACUGAAUAGCACAGGGAACCAUAUCCAGUCUCUUGGGAUAGACCAUGAUGGAAAAUAAUAUAAGAAAGGGAAUAUAAAUAUAUAUACAUAUAUAUAUGAAUGGGUCAAUUUGCUGUAUAGCAGAAAUUGGCACAACAUUUUAAAUCAACUAUACUUCAAUAAAACUUUAAAAAAAUGGGGAAAAACAUAAAAAAGAAUGGAUCUUUAACUUCUAUGCUUACAAAUGGCUAUCAAAAGUCAAUUAUGGGAAUCAAUAUUCAUAAUGCUAUAGUCAUAAAUUCACCCUCUUAAUUUCCUGACCUUAACCUUUAGCAAAUCAGACCUUUCAUUUGCAGUAAACCCAGACCAAAUUCACCAAGUUGGAUUUCCCAUGGUAUAUAAUGAACCUAUGUUCCGGGAUAUCAUAUGCAACAGUCUAAUAAUAAUGACAGCAGAUAACAGUUUUGAGAGCUUACUAUGUGCCAGGCACUACAUUAAAUGCUCCAUAUGCAUAAUUUUUUUUUAUCUUUUUACGGUUGCACCCGUGGCAUAUGGAAGUUCCCAGGCUAGGGGUUGAAUCGGAGCUGUAGCUGCCAGCCUAUGCCACAGCAAUGCCAGAUCCAAGCCGCGUCUGUGACCUACACCACAGCUCAUGGCGACACUGGAUCUUUAACCCACUGAGCAAGGCCAAGGGUUGAACCCAAAACCUCAUGGAUACUAGUCAGGUUUGUUACCUCUGAACCACAGUGGGAGCUCCCCACAUGCAUAAUCUUACUUGAUUCUUUUAACAAAUCUUUGAGCUAAUUACUAUUACUUCUUGCCACUUUAUGGAUGAGAAAACUGAGACAUAAAGAGGUCGUUACCUAAAGCCACAUAGCCAGGAAGCUGUAAAGCCAGGAUUUAAACCUAGGCAGUCUGAUUCCAGAACUGCUACACUUAACUAGUCUACCAUAUGCCUUCCCUAAAGUAACGAUUUGAUAUACAGUUACAGGGAGCCCCAUACUUCAUACCUGGAUGUAACCUCUGGAAUACCUUCAGUAGCUAACCUGGCACUGAACGACCAAGAUGAAGGACACCUCUGGAAGAAACCAGCAGCCAUCAUCUUUGAGGGGUCCUUUUCUACAGGGAUCCAUACAGCCUGGAAAAGUACAUUCCAGUCAUUGAACCUGACAGCAAAUUCUUUUUUUUUUUUUUUUU
rnacentral:lncRNA from 1 species